AUGUUGUCAGAAUCUCUUCCAUUCCUUUGUGCCCCACCAGAAGCAGACCGUGUCUUCGCCCCACCAAGAGUGACAGUGCUCGGACCUUCAGGAAACGAGUGUCAAAACCAAAGAGACAAAUGGAACAAGAAGACCUUGGUGUGUGUGGUCUCUGGGUUCUAUCCGGACCAAGUGAGCGUGUCCUGGCAGGUGGACGGGAGCGACGUCACAGAUGGCGUGGCGACCGACGCCGCUGCUGCUCGGAUUGGAGAUUAUUAUUCCAUCACCAGCAGACUGAGGGUCCCACUCACACAGUGGUUCACACCUGACGUGAACUUCACCUGCUCCGUCAGCUUCUUCAACGGAAACCAGACUGUGUACUACUCAGACUGGGUCACAGGCAUCGAAGGACCAGGAGCUGAAGCUCUUAGAGAGAAAUAUUUGAGGAUCACUCACACUGCUGAGCUGUCCUACGUCAUUUUGAUCGUCAAGAGCAGCAUCUAUGGAGCAUUCGUGGUGUUCUUGUUUUACAGGCUGAAAAUGAAUGAAUGA